GAUGAAGAACGCAGCGAAAUGCGAUAAGUAAUGUGAAUUGCAGAAUUCAGUGAAUCAUCGAAUCUUUGAACGCACAUUGCGCCCCCUGGUAUUCCGGGGGGCAUGCCUGUUCGAGCGUCAUUACAACCCUCAAGCUCUGCUUGGUAUUGGGCCCCGCCAGUUCUGGCGGGCCCUAAAGUCAGUGGCGGUGCCUUCCGGCUCCGAGCGUAGUAAUUCUUCUCGCUCUGGAGACCCGGUUGUGUGCUUGCCAACAACCCCCAAUUUGUUAAGGUUGACCUCGGAUCAGGUAGGGAUACCCGCUGAACUUAAGCAUAUCAAUAAGCGGAGGA
rnacentral:misc_RNA from 1 species